AUUGAACGCUGGCGGCAGGCCUAACACAUGCAAGUCGAGCGGAUGAGUGGAGCUUGCUCCAUGAUUCAGCGGCGGACGGGUGAGUAAUGCCUAGGAAUCUGCCUGGUAGUGGGGGACAACGUUUCGAAAGGAACGCUAAUACCGCAUACGUCCUAAGGGAGAAAGUGGGGGAUCUUCGGACCUCACGCUAUCAGCUGAGCCUAGGUCGGAUUAGCUAGUUGGUGAGGUAAAGGCGCACCAAGGCGACGAUCCGUAACUGGUCUGAGAGGAUGAUCAGUCACACUGGAACUGAGACACGGUCCAGACUCCUACGGGAGGCAGCAGUGGGGAAUAUUGGACAAUGGGCGAAAGCCUGAUCCAGCCAUGCCGCGUGUGUGAAGAAGGUCUUCGGAUUGUAAAGCACUUUAAGUUGGGAGGAAGGGCAGUAAGUUAAUACCUUGCUGUUUUGACGUUACCAACAGAAUAAGCACCGGCUAACUUCGUGCCAGCAGCCGCCGUAAGAC
rnacentral:rRNA from 1 species